rnacentral:rRNA from 1 species
UACGUAGGGGGCUAGCGUUGUCCGGAAUCAUUGGGCGUAAAGCGCGCGUAGGUGGCUUCGUAAGUCCGCUGUGAAAGUCAAAGGCUCAACCUUUGAAAGCCGGUGGAUACUGCGGAGCUAGAGUCCGGAAGAGGCGAGUGGAAUUCCUGGUGUAGCGGUGGAAUGCGCAGAUAUCAGGAGGAACACCAAUAGCGAAGGCAGCUCGCUGGGACGGUACUGACACUGAGGCGCGAAAGCGUGGGGAGCGAACAGG